rnacentral:rRNA from 1 species
CCUACGGGAGGCAGCAGUGAGGAAUAUUGGUCAAUGGGCGGGAGCCUGAACCAGCCAAGUCGCGUGAGGGAAGACGGUCCUAUGGAUUGUAAACCUCUUUAGGCGGGGAGCAAUGCCGGGUAUGCGUGCCCGGAGGGAGAGUACCCGCAGAAUAAGCAUCGGCUAACUUCGUGCCAGCAGCCGCGGUAAUACGGAGGAUGCGAGCGUUAUCCGGAUUUAUUGGGGUUAAAGGGUGCGUAGGCGGAUUUUUAAGUCAGCGGUAAAAUGUCCUGGCUAAACCCAGGCCGGCCGUUGAAACUGGGGAUCUUGAGUGGGCGAGAGGUAGGCGGAAUGCGUGGUGUAGGGGUAAAAUGCGUAGAUAUCACGCAGAAUACGGAUUGCGAAGGCGACAUACCGGCGCACGACUGACGCUGAGGCACGAAAGCGUGGGGAUCGAACAGGAUUAGAUACCCGAGUAGUC